rnacentral:rRNA from 1 species
UACGUAGGGUGCAAGCGUUAAUCGGAAUUACUGGGCGUAAAGCGUGCGCAGGCGGUGAUGUAAGACAGUUGUGAAAUCCCCGGGCUCAACCUGGGAACUGCAUCUGUGACUGCAUCGCUGGAGUACGGUAGAGGGGGAUGGAAUUCCGCGUGUAGCAGUGAAAUGCGUAGAUAUCAGGAAGAACACCCGUGGCGAAGGCGGCUCUCUGGGACGGUACUGACGCUGAGACGCGAAAGCGUGGGGAGCGAACAGG